CCCGAACGGUGGAUCACUCGGCUCGCGGAU
rnacentral:rRNA from 3 species